AGCGAACGCUGGCGGCAGGCUUAACACAUGCAAGUCGAGCGGACCUUCCGGGGUCAGCGGCGGACGGGGGAGGAACGCGUGGGAACGUGCCUUCCGGUUCGGAAUAACCCUGGGAAACUAGGGCUAAUACCGGAUACGCUCUUACGGGGUAAGGUUUACUGCUGGAUGCUCGGCGCGGGUCUGAUUAGCGAGUUGGUGGGGUAACGGCCUAUCAAGGGGACGAUCAUGAGCUGGUCUGAGAGGAUGAUCCGCCACACUGGGGCUGCGACACGGCCCAGAGUCGUACGGAAGGCAGCAGUGGAGAAUAUUAGGCGAGGGGCGCAAGCCUGGUCCAGCCAUGCCGCGUGAGUCAUGAAGGCCUUAGGGUUGUAAAGCUCUUUUAUCCGAGACGAUAAUGACGGUACCGGAGGAAUAAGCCCCGGCUAACUUCGUG
rnacentral:rRNA from 1 species